GACGUAGGAGGCGAGCGUUGUCCGGAUUCAUUGGGCGUAAAGAGCGCGCAGGCGGCUUGGUAAGUCGGAUGUGAAAUCCCGAGGCUCAACCUCGGGUCUGCAUCCGAUACUGCCCGGCUAGAGGUAGGUAGGGGAGAUCGGAAUUCCUGGUGUAGCGGUGAAAUGCGCAGAUAUCAGGAGGAACACCGGUGGGCGAAGGCGGAUCUCUGGGCCUUACCUGACGCUCAGGCGCGAAAAGCUAGGGGGAGC
rnacentral:rRNA from 1 species